rnacentral:lncRNA from 1 species
AAUUAUUUCCAAGUAUAUUGUAAAUUUUCUUUUUUGAAAAGCUAUUGAUAUGUUGCCAAACACAACACACACACACACACACACACACACACACACACACAUAUAUAUAAAGCUAUUAUGCUUUCGAAAGCAUAACAGAAUUCGUGUUUUCAACUUUUUAGCCCUUAUAUCAACCACUUUAAGUAUUUUUAAUCUUUGGAUUAAUAUUAUUAUCCUAAGGAGACCACUCAAUCCUAGAGAAUCACUCAAUCCUAAGAGGGAUCACUAUCAUUCGGACCCUACAAUAAAUUGUUGACGUGCUGACUUGCAUACAUAAAUAUAUAUAUUCAUAGC